ensembl:lncRNA
UUGAGGUCUUGCAAGCACAGGUACUAACUAGGUCUGAAAAAUUUCUUGUCCAGGCCACCAGCCAAGGCUAAGCAUCCAGAGAAGAAUGCCCAUCCCAGUCAGUCCUGUCAGGGCUGAGAAAAUUCUGCAGUCAAGAGGUAGUUGGCUGGGAUUACCAGUCUAGGCCAUAGGCCUGGGGUGACAGUGGGGAGAAGGGCUCAGGCUGGUGACUGUGUUGUGAUCUCCCCGCGUUCUUCUACCUCUAGAACUCAGCCCGGUGUGACAGACUGUGGUUGGUGAGAGUAGAGUGUGGGAAAUGGGUGGUUGUGAUUAUCGUAACGGUGAUUAUAUUGUAAGGUAAACACCAAGCGAGAACAAACAGUGCUAUGCCUUGUGCCAGCAGACGUUGGUGUCUCUCUAGUUGGGAACUGAGACUUGAGAGAAGCAAGGACAGUCCAGCUGGUAGCCAUGAGGCUGAGCAGGGAGUCUUGGCUGGAGGGGUCUUCCUUCUCAGUUUACGAAAACGUCCUUCUUGGGAGUUCCCAUUGUGGCUCAGUGGUUAACAACCCAACUAGGAACCAUGAGGUUGCAGGUUGGAUCCCUGGCCUCGCUCAGCGGGUUAAGGAUUUGGCAUUGCUGUGGCCGACAGCUGUAGCUCCGAUUCAACCCCUAGCCUGGGAACCUCCAUAUGCCAUAGGUGCGACCCUAGAAAAGACAAAAAAGACAAAAGAAAACGUCCUUCUCAGUUUUGCAGCUGGCAGUGGAAAGGAUGAGGCAGGCUCCGCUUAGGACACCGGGGCUUCUGUGGUCGAUGCAUGGAACCCAAGUCCUCCUCUCUGACUCCAGUUCACCAGUUAGAUCCAAUGAGUAGGUUUAGGGGAGGAGGGAAUUGGGGUUAGAUUUUGAAAGGGGAAAGGGUACUUAUAAGCAGAGGAAAGUAACUGGGGGUAUCCCAGGAGAGAGGACAGGCAGGGGUGAAUGAAUGGAGUCGGGAUGUGUUGGGUUUUGUAUCCGGAGUAGGGGUUGCCCAGUUUGGUAUGCAAGUGGAAGAAAAAGCUGGCAAGGGCCUCUGGGGCCUGGUGGGGGGGCGUUUGUGACAAAUCUGUGCUUCCCAGAGAAGAUCCUGUUUUCUCAGCGUGAUGAUAUUUAAGGAUGAAACUCCAGAAAACCCUUAGACUAGAUUCCUUUUGGAGUUAGGAAGAGGUCAGAGGCCUCCAGCUGACACUAGGGAGGAGGCAAUGGAUGAGAUGAAUGGGAAGUAAUUGGUGGAUUGCCUGCCUACUAAGGUGUUCUUGCUCUGGUGUUAGCAGGGUGGGGCCUCAGAGGAUGGGAAGUGUUAGAUGAUAAGGCAGUGUCCUGUAGGUUGAUUCUUGCUGUCUAGUCCAGGCUUUCCGUGAGUUCCAGAGCCAGAGUGGAAAACGUGGCUUCCACGUGGAGAGCUCCUCCCCCUGCAAGCCACGCCCCCACGGGACCGACUGUCUGGGCUGUUGGCGCCACCUUAUGGCCAGAGAGGGAACUGUCUGACUAAAUAGUGGCCUCUCCUAGUCCCUCUCUUGGGACUCAAGGGUCAGGGGCACUUGGAUCUAACAUCUUCUCCUCAGUUUCCUUAGCAAAUCAGUAAAGGCUGAUUUAGGCAACCUACCCCGCCCCCCAAUGAUGUGCUCGAAUCGCCCCAGCAAGGAACUCUCUUUCAAACUUUUUGCUUCUCCUCCUCCAUCCUUUGCUGUCUUCCUAAGUAAGCCCCAAAUCUGCCCUGUCUUGGCUCCUUUGUGUCUUGCAUUUAUGAAGGAAAAGGAAAAAGGUAUCCAAACUGAACAGACAAAAUAACCAUAGACGGCUGCUAUCAGCCCCCAAAAUUCUUAUAAAUUGGAGUCACUUCCUAAAAAGUCUCUUAUCUUUCUCCUUAUCUUUCUUUCAUUAAAUGGGUUGUUUCAUUAAAUAGAAUUCAGGAGAAAGGAAACGAUGGUGUCCACAUUUGAGUUUGUUUACUGGUAUUACAACAAAACUACUUUCUACCAGUUUUCACUGCAAAAGUCCAGGGCCUCGACAAUGUUAUGAGUCAAGGGAGCUUUUGUGGGGCUGGUCUGGAAAUCUCACCAUCGUUUGUAAUAUUGUUUAUUAUAAGGAGGAGGAAAAAUAUCCUCAGUUCCCAAAACAAUCAACUCCCAAGAGUUUGGAAUGCACUGCUUUUGUGAAUUGGACAUUUCCUCUGUAUCAUAGAUUAAUAGUCAAACCUUUGGUCAUGGAUUGACUGGAAACCCAAAA